rnacentral:rRNA from 1 species
UUGACCUCAAAUCAGGUAGGACUACCCGCUGAACUUAAGCAUAUCAAUAAGCGGAGGAAAAGAAACUAACAAGGAUUCCCCUAGUAACUGCGAGUGAAGCGGGAAAAGCUCAAAUUUAAAAUCUGGCGGUCUUUGGCUGUCCGAGUUGUAAUCUAGAGAAGUGUUAUCCGCGCUGGACCGUGUACAAGUCUCCUGGAAUGGAGCGUCAUAGAGGGUGAGAAUCCCGUCUUUGACACGGACUGCCAGGGCUUUGUGAUGCGCUCUCAAAGAGUCGAGUUGUUUGGGAAUGCAGCUCAAAAUGGGUGGUAAAUUCCAUCUAAAGCUAAAUAUUGGCGAGAGACCGAUAGCGAACAAGUACCGUGAGGGAAAGAUGAAAAGAACUUUGGAAAGAGAGUUAAACAGUACGUGAAAUUGCUGAAAGGGAAACGCUUGAAGUCAGUCGCGUUGUUUGGGAAUCAACCUUGCUUUUGCUGGGUGUACUUUCCAGAUCGACGGGCCAGCAUCAAUUUUGACCGUUGGAUAAAGGUUGGAGGAAUGUGGCAUCUUCGGAUGUGUUAUAGCCUCCAGUUGCAUACAAUGGUUGGGAUUGAGGAACUCAGCACGCCGCAAGGCCGGGUACUUGUACCACGUUCGUGCUUAGGAUGCUGGCAUAAUGGCUUUAAUCGACCCGUC